UGUAAUUCAGCCAAGGAUGACUUGCCGGAAACACUGCGCAUCUUUGCCGGCAAGUUGUAGCUUGGCUAUGUUGUACUC
rnacentral:pre_miRNA from 1 species